GAUGAACGCUGGCGGCGUGCUUAACACAUGCAAGUCGAACGGAAAGGCUCCUGCUUGCAGGGGUACUCGAGUGGCGAACGGGUGAGUAACACGUGGGUGAUCUGCCCUGCACUUCGGGAUAAGCCUGGGAAACUGGGUCUAAUACCGGAUAGGACGAUGGUUUGGAUGCCAUUGUGGAAAGUUUUUCGGUGUGGGAUGAGCUCGCGGCCUAUCAGCUUGUUGGUGGGGUAAUGGCCUACCAAGGCGUAGACGGGUAGCCGGCAUGAGAGGGUGUACGGCCACAUUGGGACUAAGAUACGGACCAGACUCCAACGGGAGGCAGCAGGGGGGAAUAUUGCACAAUGGGCGCAAGCCGGAUGCAGCGACGCCGCGUGGGGGAUGACGGCCUUCGGGUUGUAAACUCCUUUCGCUAGGGACGAAGCGCAAGUGACGGUACCUGGAGAAGAAGCACCGGCUAACUACGUG
rnacentral:rRNA from 1 species